rnacentral:rRNA from 1 species
CCUACGGGAGGCAGCAGUGAGGAAUAUUGGACAAUGGAGGAAACUCUGAUCCAGCCAUGCCGCGUGCAGGAUGACAGCUUUAUGAGUUGUAAACUGCUUUUAUUCAGGAAGAAACCUCAGCACGUGUGCUGAGUUGACGGUACUGUUUGAAUAAGGAUCGGCUAACUCCGUGCCAGCAGCCGCGGUAAUACGGAGGAUCCAAGUGUUAUCCGGAAUUAUUGGGUUUAAAGGGUCCGUAGGCUGUCUGAUCAGUCAGGGGUGAAAUCCUACAGCUCAACUGUAGAAUGGCCUUUGAUACUGUCAGACUUGAGUUAUUGUGAAGUAAUUAGAAUGUGUAGUGUAGCGGUGAAAUGCAUAGAUAUUACACGGAAUACCGAUUGCGAAGGCAGAUUACUAACAAUAUACUGACGCUGAGGGACGAAAGCGUGGGUAGCGAACAGGAUUAGAUACCCUGGUAGUCCACGCCGUAAACGAUGGAUACUAACUAUUUGAUGCACAUUGGUGUGUUGAGUGGUCAAGCGAAAGUGAUAAGUAUCCCACCUGG